rnacentral:rRNA from 1 species
GACGAACGCUGGCGGCGUGCUUAACACAUGCAAGUCGAGCGGUAAGGCACUUGGGUGUACACGAGCGGCGAACGGGUGAGUAACACGUGAGUAAUCUGCCCUUCACUUUGGGAUAAGCUUCGGAAACGGGGUCUAAUACCGGAUAUGACCAGUUCCUGCAUGGGGGUUGGUGGAAAGUUUUUUCGGUGGGGGAUGUGCUCGCGGCCUAUCAGCUUGUUGGUGGGGUAAUGGCCUACCAAGGCUUCGACGGGUAGCCGGCCUGAGAGGGUGACCGGCCACACUGGGACUGAGACACGGCCCAGACUCCUACGGGAGGCAGCAGUGGGGAAUAUUGGACAAUGGGCGGAAGCCUGAUCCAGCAACGCCGCGUGAGGGAUGACGGCCUUCGGGUUGUAAACCUCUUUCGCCUAUGACGAAGCGCCUGUUGUGGGUGGUGACGGUAGUAGGAGAAGAAGCACCGGCCAACUACGUGCCAGCAGCCGCCGUAAGAC